GAUGAACGCUGGCGGCGUGCCUAAUACAUGCAAGUCGAGCGAACAGAUAGGGAGCUUGCUCCUUUGACGUUAGCGGCGGACGGGUGAGUUACACGUGGAUAACCUACCUAUAAGACUGGGAUAACUUCGGGAAACCGGAGCUAAUACCGGAUAACAUAUUGAACCGCAUGGUUCAAUAGUGAAAGGCGGCUUUGCUGUCACUUAUAGAUGGAUCCGCGCCGUAUUAGCUAGUUGGUAAGGUAACGGCUUACCAAGGCAACGAUACGUAGCCGACCUGAGAGGGUGAUCGGCCACACUGGAACUGAGACACGGUCCAGACUCCUACGGGAGGCAGCAGUAGGGAAUCUUCCGCAAUGGGCGAAAGCCUGACGGAGCAACGCCGCGUGAGUGAUGAAGGUCUUCGGAUCGUAAAACUCUGUUAUCAGGGAAGAACAAAUGUGUAAGUAACUGUGCACAUCUUGACGGUACCUGAUCAGAAAGCCACGGCUAACUACGUG
rnacentral:rRNA from 1 species